GGUGUUUUUUUUUUUUUUUUUUUUAAUGUUGUUUCCCGAGCUUUUGGAAUCCUGACAAGAGUGUAUCCACCAUGUGAUGCUUACAACGCCAGUUACAGACACCAUUGUUGGCUCAAGGCUUUGCUGCUACAAACAAUGCUGUGAGGACCAUUUUAUCCAUGCCCCUAUACCAUCAUGGAGACACCAUCAUGUAGGAAAUGUGAAUCUUUUACCAUCUCUUCAGGACUCCCAAAGACAGAGAUGAGCCUUCUGUUUCCAGUGAUCACAGGGCCCCGCGAUGAAGCCAGCCUCAAGAUAAUA